CGGUGUUUUCACUCAAAGGAAAUAGUAAAUCCGAUAUGAUCCGAUGUACUUUGGAUAUACUUGGGGAACACGACAAUAGAGGGCGUGAAAAACAAUUGAAUUAUUCUAUAAAAUCCUGUCUAAUCUGUGAUACCAAUUCCAUGUUUCCGUUACGCGCAAUUAACAAAAUAAAAGAUAUGACAAAAAUAAUGUUGUAUUAUUUUUAACUAGCCUUUUAAAAUGUUAUUAAUUAUAAUUAACAAAAAAAAACAAAUAUUAUCUAAAGUUUUUGUUCUUAAAUUGGUCCGUUUUAAAAUCUGAAGGUGCGAAACUUUUAUGAUAAACUUUAAAAAGAGGCAUGGAACGGAAUGUUUUUUUUUUCAAAGCCGCCAUAACGCCAUUAUUUCAAUUCUUCACUUUCUUGUGAUGUUCGAUGCUUUGCUUUGCUAGAAAGAACUUUAAAAUUAUGAUGUUGAACUAUACAACGACUGUGCUUGCCCUGGACUCCGAUAAAUCUGCUUUUUUGUGAAUAUACCGGCUCUGCUCAACGGAUUUUGAUUUGCUCGUUAGAUUCGUUUGUCGUAACAAUGGUUAUAAGUGCUGUGUGUUGUGUACUUAAUUGCGGUAAAACGCGAUUAGAUAAUAUGAUUCUUCACCAAUGACCCAAUCCAAUUAUUGAGCCUGACUGGUUUCGUACCUGGAUUUAUUCUAAUGGCAGUGAUGUGUUAGCAAUGGAAAACUGUGUCAUACUCACUUUAAGAAAAAAUAUAAUACUUCAAGCGGAAGACUCAGUUUUACCCAUUUCUCUAUUGAGGUCUUGGGGUAUGGAAUUGAUAAGCAAACCAUAUUGCUGCAAUUUCCAAUCAAUGUUCAAGAACCAAUGCAAGAUGAUCAAGUACCCAGAGCCCCUUUGAGGAACAUCACCAAUCAGUACCCACAGGGCGGCUACUAAUCUCAGAUCUCAGCCGUCAGCUUCAGGAAUUGAUAAGCAAGCAAACCGCAUCGCUGCAAUUUGCUAGCAAUAUUCAAGAACCGAUGCAAGAUGAUCAAAUACCCAGAGCCCCUUUGAGGAACAUCACUGAUGUCAGUUCUCAGCCGUCAACUUCAGGUCACGCGCCACGACACACACCCCGAUUUUUAACGGAAGCUAGCAGUUUGGCCAAACAAAUAAAAAAACUUACUGAGACAAAAGAAAAAUAUUCUGUAAGAUUAAAAAAAAGCUUAUGUGUCUAUCCACAAACACAUCUUUUCAAAAGGCUAGGCUAUUAGGAGUUUCAUCGUUGAACAUCUUCUCUUCACCACACCCACACACACUCUCUCUCUCUCUUUUCUUGAUUCUUUGAAAACUAAUAAGAAAGGUCCAUUUUAUUCAUAAGAGUGCAAAGUAAUUUGAUUCAAAUUUUAAAUUGAAGUUCUAAACUGCUGGUAGAAUGUACCUUU